rnacentral:rRNA from 1 species
GUGGGGAAUAUUGGACAAUGGGCGCAAGCCUGAUCCAGCCAUGCCGCGUGAGUGAUGAAGGCCUUAGGGUUGUAAAGCUCUUUCACCGAUGAAGAUAAUGACGGUAGUCGGAGAAGAAGCCCCGGCUAACUUCGUGCCAGCAGUCGCGGUAAUACGAAGGGGGCUAGCGUUGUUCGGAUUUACUGGGCGUAAAGCGCACGUAGGCGGUUUGUUAAGUCAGGGGUGAAAUCCCGGAGCUCAACUCCGGAACUGCCUUUGAUACUGGCAAGCUAGAGUCCGGAAGAGGUAAGUGGAACUCCUAGUGUAGAGGUGGAAUUCGUAGAUAUUAGGAAGAACACCAGUGGCGAAGGCGGCUUACUGGUCCGGAACUGACGCUGAGGUGCGAAAGCGUGGGGAGCAAACAGGAUUAGAAACCCCUGUAGUCC